AAAACGACUCUCGGCAACGGAUAUCUAGGCUCUCGCAUCGAUGAAGAACGUAGCGAAAUGCGAUACGUGGUGUGAAUUGCAGAAUCCCGUGAACCAUCGAGUCUUUGAACGCAAGUUGCGCCCAAAGCCGUCGGGCCGAGGGCACGUCUGCCUGGGCGUCACAC
rnacentral:rRNA from 1 species